AUACGCGGCAUUGUGGGAGAUGUAGUUCCUAACUCACCACUGAAAGCUUACACAACCUUUGAGGAACUCCAACUCCCAGAGAGUAUAGCGAGCGUUCCUUCGCCCUCGGGCUCCCUGUGGUUCAUGGGUCCCCGCAGAAUUCAGUGCCUGAAGAAAGAAUGAUGCAAUCGAGUCCGAUACCAUCAGGCCCUGCCUUACCACUUCUGCUUAUCUCUUCUAUUCCUGCACUGAGCCAUGUACCCUCACUUAAAGCACAAGUCCUGCCAGUUCACUGAGUGGAGUCUAGCCUUUCCUACGUCCGGGCUCCUGUUCAUCCAGUCUUGGUUCCUGUCCUUCUGGUUUGUACCAUCCAGCUGUAGCUGACCUUCCAAGCCAUCUCAACAAAGAAAAGUUUACCAGUUCACUAAAAAGCUUGAAAGAAUCCAUGCAAGCAACAUGACUUCCAUGUGGAUGAGGACAAAGCCUUAGGGCAUGCAGGAACAACAAGGAAGGAACCUAGGUCUUUGAAUGACAUUGUGGAACAGAGCUGGCCUACCAGUCCAGAACAGUCAGACUCAUGAGAGAAAAAUAAGCUAUCUUAUUUAAGCCACUAUAUGUUGGGGGUCCCUGUUUCAACAGGUUCGAAGGACUUGGCUGACCACCUCCCUCCGGGCCUCAGUCUCCCCACCUGUAAAGCCAGCAGCGAGUGGAAGGCGCUGACAGCUCUCCGGAUCUCUUCUCCAGGCCGAUGGGCAGGGUCAGAUGGGAGACAGAAUACUGCUGUGGAAAUUGAGAAGAAUUUUAUGUCCCAGAGGUCAAAUGUUUGCUUUUAGAGAAUGUUGGGCACCCACAGCCUAAAAUGAGGCAUGGAGAUAAACUGAUUUCAAUGACCUAAAACCAUGAUCAAGGACCUGGGGUCCAUGGACUCAAAGGAGGCCUUAGAUGGGCUUCAGAAAUGGUGUGAAGAUCCAAUGAAAGUGCUGGAAUAACGUGUGACAUGUGGAUUUUUCUAGGGAGAACACCCACAAUCUUCAUAGGUUACUUCAAGUCUUCAUGCCACUUCAGGGUUUUAGAACCUCCUCUGGUUUCCCUAUGGACUUGGCUUCUUUCUUUCAUGAGGAUAUCUCCCAUCCAGAUAAAUUGUCUUUUGGGAUCUUCUUUCUUAAGAUUUUUUUUAUUUUAUGUGCACCAUUAAAAAAAAAAAAAAAAAAAACGGUUAUUGAAUUUCUUACAAUACAGCUUCUAUGUUUUGUUUUUAUGGCCAUGAGGCAUGUGGGAUCCUAGCUGCCCGACCAGGGACUGAACCCACACCUCCUGCAUUGGAAGGUGAUGUCAUCACCACGGGACUGCUAGGGAAAAGUCCUGAAAUUUUCUUAUUUUUGUUUUCUCACAAGAUUUGAUCCCUGGAGGGAGACCUGUUCUUACUCUCAGCACAUGUUCUCUGCUUUGUUUCAGCCCAGGUUUUUCAUAUCCUCUGCUCCCCGGCAACAUGAAUCCACCGAGUGGCCAAGAAAUAUUGUGGUUUUCCCUUUCAUACACAAUUUCCAAGGAAGAACUUUUCCUGAGACCACUGCCUGAACAAGAGUUGGCUAUUCAAAUAGGAACUUAGAGGUGAACCUGAGUUUAAUUUCAUUUUCAUUUUUUUAGAAAAAGCCCCCUUCUCUUCUCUUCUCACCAAAGCCAUUUCUCUAAAAUAACUUUUUUUCUGUUAUAAAUUUCACAACCCUGCUCCACCCAAAAAUCUAGAGCUGCACCUUGGUACCUGACCAGUAACAACAGGUUUGCCCAUGCUUCUGUUUGUCUAGUAAUAUGCGUGAUUUUUUUCACUUUUGACUGUUUAUGAUAUAAAAGCAGUGAUCUUGGAAAUUCCUCAAAAAGAUCAACAAAGAGUUGUUGUAUGACCCAGCUACUUCUAUUUCAGUUAUAUGCCCAAGAGUUUGAAAAGCGGGGCACAAAUGUUCAUAUUAUUCAUAAUAGCCAAAGAGUGAAAGCAAGCCAAAUGUCUAUCAGCUGAUGAGUGGAUAAAUAAGAUGUGGCAUAGCCAUAAGUGGAAUAUGAUAUAGCCAUUAAAAAAGAAAUGACACAUGCUAUUACAUGGGCAAACCUUGAAAACACAAUGUUAAGUGAAAGAGGCCAGCACAAAGAACCACAUACUAUGUGAUUCCAUGUUUUAGAAAUGUUCGGAAUAGGCAAAUCCAUAGAAAUCUGAAGACAGAAGGUAAAUUAAUGAUUGUUAAAAAAUGGGUGGGGGAAGAACUGAUACUGACUACAGAUAUGGAGCUUUUUUUGGAAUCCUGGAAAUGUUCUGGAAUUAGUUGUGUUUAUAACCAGUCCAUCCUAAAGGAGAC